rnacentral:rRNA from 1 species
AUUGAACGCUGGCGGAUUGCUUUACACAUGCAAGUCGAACGGCAGCACGGACUUCGGUCUGGUGGCGAGUGGCGAACGGGUGAGUAACAUAUCGGAACGUAUCCAAUAAUGGGGGAUAACUAAUCGAAAGGUUGGCUAAUACCGCGUACGCCCUACGGGGGAAAGCUAGGGACCUUCGGGCCUGGCGUUAAUGGAGCGGCCGAUAUCUGAUUAGCUAGUUGGUGGGGUAAAGGCCCACCAAGGCGACGAUCAGUAGCUGGUCUGAGAGGACGACCAGCCACACUGGAACUGAGACACGGUCCAGACUCCUACGGGAGGCAGCAGUGGGGAAUUUUGGACAAUGGGCGCAAGCCUGAUCCAGCCAUUCCGCGUGAGUGAAGAAGGCCUUCGGGUUGUAAAGCUCUUUCGCAAGGGAAGAAAACUUAGCCUCUAACAUAGGCUGAGGUUGACGGUACCUUGAUAAGAAGCACCGGCUAACUACGUGCCAGCAGCCGCCGUAA